GGAGAAAGGGAUGCUCAAAUUGAAGCAGGAAUGUUCCAGGAAUGAGAAACAGCUCUCUCUUCUCCUCACGGACAGAGCUCCCACACAUUCUUGGAUUUCCAAAGCCACGGUGGCAUCGACCAGGAGAGGAGCUUUUCUGAAGUCCAGGAAGCUGUUGCGAGGUGACAUCAUAGCCCCCAAGGCCCACUGAGCAGAAUCUGGCACCAAGUGAUGCUUCUAUCUGCCCAUCAUCUUACCCCUUAGGUAUGUGUCACAGUGACCAUCCCCAGUUUCAAAGUCAGGCACUCCUUCCUACAUUAUUAAGGUGCAAAGACAUUAUUGGAGAUGAGCUAUAAGUUUAUAUGUAUAAAUUUAUCUCUGUGCUUGUUACUUUUAGCUUCAGAAUCCCUCAUCCUCAGCUGUCAACUCCAGCCCAACAUGGUUCUGUCAACCUGCAAUAUUGUUAUUUAUAAGAAUUAUAUAUUUGUAUUGUCAUCCAGAUGACCGAAAUAUAUUUCUCAGAGAUAUUUGGUCUUCAGCCAUCGCUCUUGGAUCAUAGCUCCUUGGAAUUUCCUGAAGGAUAAGAGCAAUGGGAACACCUUUCAUUAUGAUAUUUGGUCUCUUGUCCACAGUUCCUG
rnacentral:lncRNA from 1 species